rnacentral:misc_RNA from 1 species
UCAUGCUGACAAGAGCACAUUUCACCGCUUUGAUAAGUUUAAUCUUAAGUACAACCCCUGUGGUCAAAGUAGACUCAGGGAGAUCUUCCUAAAGCAGGACAAUCUAAUUCAAGGCCGUUUCCUUGGUGAGCUGACCAAACAAGUAUUUUCUGAUCUUGCGGCUAGUAAAUAUCAGAUGGCUGAAUAUCGGAUAUCUAUAUAUGGAAGGAAGCAAAGUGAAUGGGAUCAACUUGCCAGUUGGAUAAUUAAUAAUGAUUUGUACAGUGACAAUGUCGUAUGGUUGAUCCAGCUGCCACGACUUUACAAUGUGUACAAGGAAAUGGGG